rnacentral:sRNA from 1 species
GGUCACGAAGCCCGCGCGCUCGCCCGCCAGGAACGAGACCAUGUCGGCGAUUUCCUCGCCGCGGCCCAGGCGACCGACCGGAAUGCCGGCGACGAUCUGCGCCAGAACGUUCUCGGGAACGGCCGCCACCAUCUCGGUGUCGAUAUAGCCGGGGCAGAUCACGUUGACGGUGACGCCCUUCUUGGCGUUCUCCAGGGCCAGGGCCUUGGUGAAGCCGAUCAGGCCGGCCUUGGCGGCCGAAUAGUUGGUCUGGCCCAUCUGGCCCUUCUGGCCAUUGAUGGAGCUGAUGUUGAUGAUGCGGCCCCAGCUGCGGUCUCGCAUGCCCUCGAUCACCGGACGGGUCAUGUUGAAGGCCGAGUCCAUAUUGACCCGGAUCACUUCGGACCACUGCUCAUAGGUCAUCUUGUGCAGCAUGCCGUCGCGGGUGAUGCCGGCGUUGUUGACCAGGAUGUCGAUCGGGCCGAGCUCGGCCUCGACCUUCUUCACGGCUGCCUGGCAGUCCUCGAACACGCCGACAUUGCCCUUCACGACCAUCACGCCCAGCUCCUUGGCGCAGGCCUCGGCGGCGGCUUCAUUGCCGGAAUACCCCGCCGCCACCUUGUGGCCGUCAGCGAUCAGCCGCUCGCAGAUGGCUCGACCGAUGCCGCGGGUGCCGCCGGUCACGAACGCAACUCUCGUCAUGUAACUCUCCCGAUCGCUUUUCUUA